GAGGGUGUAGCUCAGUGGUAGAGCACCUGGCUUUUAACCAGGGUGUCGAGGGUUCGAUCCCCUCCGCCCUCA
rnacentral:tRNA from 1 species